GGCCGACUCCUACGGGAGGCAGCAGUGGGGAAUAUUGCACAAUGGGGGGAACCCUGAUGCAGCGACGCCGCGUGAGUGAAGAAGUAUUUCGGUAUGUAAAGCCCUGUCAGCAGGGAAGAAGAAAGACGGUACCUGACUAAGAAGCCCCGGCUAACUACGUGCCAGCAGCCGCGGUAAUACGUAGGGGGCAAGCGUUAUCCGGAUUUACUGGGUGUAAAGGGAGCGUAGACGGCAGUGCAAGUCUGGAGUGAAAGGCGGGGGCUCAACCCCCGGACUGCUCUGGAAACUGUACGGCUGGAGUGCAGGAGAGGUAAGUGGAAUUCCUAGUGUAGCGGUGAAAUGCGUAGAUAUUAGGAGGAACACCAGUGGCGAAGGCGGCUUACUGGACUGUAACUGACGUUGAGGCUCGAAAGCGUGGGGAGCAAACAGGAUUAGAUACCCGAGUACCA
rnacentral:rRNA from 1 species